UGGGGAAUAUUGGACAAUGGGCGCAAGCCUGAUCCAGCCAUGCCGCGUGAGUGAUGAAGGCCCUAGGGUUGUAAAGCUCUUUCACCGGUGAAGAUAAUGACGGUAACCGGAGAAGAAGCCCCGGCUAACUUCGUGCCAGCAGCCGCGGUAAUACGAAGGGGGCUAGCGUUGUUCGGAUUUACUGGGCGUAAAGCGCACGUAGGCGGACUUUUAAGUCAGGGGUGAAAUCCCGGGGCUCAACCCCGGAACUGCCUUUGAUACUGGAAGUCGUGAGUAUGGUAGAGGUGAGUGGAAUUCCGAGUGUAGAGGUGAAAUUCGUAGAUAUUCGGAGGAACACCAGUGGCGAAGGCGGCUCACUGGACCAUUACUGACGCUGAGGUGCGAAAGCGUGGGGAGCAAACA
rnacentral:rRNA from 1 species